rnacentral:rRNA from 1 species
GAUGAACGCUGGCGGCGUGCCUAAUACAUGCAAGUCGAGCGAACAGAUGAGAAGCUUGCUCCUCUGACGUUAGCGGCGGACGGGUGAGUAACACGUGGAUAACCUACCUAUAAGACUGGGAUAACUUCGGGAAACCGGAGCUAAUACCGGAUAAUAUAUUGAACCGCAUGGUUCAAUAGCGAAAGACGGUUUUGCUGUCACUUAUAGAUGGAUCCGCGCCGCAUUAGCUAGUUGGUAAGGUAACGGCUUACCAAGGCAACGAUGCGUAGCCGACCUGAGAGGGUGAUCGGCCACACUGGAACUGAGACACGGUCCAGACUCCUACGGGAGGCAGCAGUAGGGAAUCUUCCGCAAUGGGCGAAAGCCUGACGGAGCAACGCCGCGUGAGUGAUGAAGGUCUUCGGAUCGUAAAACUCUGUUAUUAGGGAAGAACAAAUGUGUAAGUAACUAUGCACGUCUUGACGGUACCUAAUCAGAAAGCCACGGCUAACUACGUG